ensembl:lncRNA
AUGUGCCCCAUCCACGUGGCCGAGCUGUCCCCGGGCACGUCCAUCGUCCACCCUCGAAGCCUGCGUGCCCAGAGCCUGCGGCCUCCUGCUCUGCGCUGCCGGAAGCAAACCCCCAGAACACUGUCCUCGCUUGGCUACUCUCCAAGAAUCGUCAUAGUCCGGAGUAGUAUUCCUGUGAACCCAGAAUCGUCACUUUUGAUCCUCAAACCUGGUUUCGUGAUACUCAUACCCUUGUACAUGCACACUAGGUACACGUUUAUUAAAAUUCAUAUCUCUUGAAAAAACUUUGAUAAGGUAAAUGUCCAAUGUCACAUUCUUAAGCCUCACUCUAGAGAAUCUGAUGGAUUUGUUACUUUUUAUUCCCCCAAUUUUUGUGCCUCUUCUCGCCAUGCAUUUUAUGAUGAAAUUCUCAUUUAUUCACACAGAAAUUCUUUGCCAAUGAGAUGGCCAGAAACUGGUGCUCUCUUGCUGGGCAAGGGUCCUGGGAAGGAGGUCUAAUUUCUUUUUGCCUGUUUUAUCAUUAGGUAGAAAAAUCUUAACCAUUUCUUGGUAGAGUUUGGUCUGGUUUCUGUCCGUGUGGCUCCCAGUCUCAGAGGCAGAGGCAGGGAGACAAGCCCCACUGACCCGGGAACGGGGCUCGAUGCUGUGGACAGAGGAAGCCGGAGUUUAGGAGCAAACGAAAGAGCUUCUCUGACUUUGCAAGCGUCACCCUGUUUUGAGGAUUGUCCUGACUUACUUGAUCUCAUGAAGCCCCUGUUGGUUAGAGGUGGACCCCAGGAGUCCCUGGAGCACCCGCAGCCUGCUGGUGACGACGCGUCAGCCUCUCUCCCGCCGUGGACACCGUGUCGUCCUACCACAUCCUCAAGAGGAGCAUGGGGGACCGUCGUGAACAAACAUCCAGGUGACGCCUGGCGUUAGGGCUCCAUGCCCAAUUAGCUAUCCCCUCACGGUGCCACAGACACCCAUCUGCCGGUCACCAGAGCAGAAGCUAACCUUGGGAAUAGGGGACCCGCAGGGCACAAGUGGGGGCGCUAGACCUGGUCUACUCUGCAGUGUCAACGACCUUCUUGAUUAGAACACAGGUGGGCAGAAUGUUCUAUCGCUGGGACAGGUUUUCCAGUCUGAUGGUUGGUUACAGUUUUCCAGAUGAUUGACUUUGGAGUCGAAUAUCCAGAACCGCCACAAUAUUCAGACUUUUUGGUAACAGUUGACCUUCCCAAUUUGGGAAUCGAUUUCAUUUAUUUGUCAUUUAUUUAUUUAUUUAUUUAGGAAAGGAUUACUGAAUGUUGAUUUAGUUUAUUUCAUUUAGUAGCAAUAGAAAAAGCUGAAAUCCUAUGCUUGUUUAACUGUUGUUCCUCAGAUUAGCAUUUUAGAUGUGAGAAAUAGGUUUUUUUGUCAUUUGUAGGAAGUUUACAUUAUGUGUCCUUUGCUAACCAUGGGCCAAGUUAAGGAAAUGUCUCCAUUUUACACUUAAUAUCUUCAAGUGUACUUCAGUGAGGCUAAUUAAUUCUACAGAGUAGGAAGUUUUCUUAACACUUUGUUCACUUGCCUUAUGUUCUAAUGUUAUUUUUUACUGAUGUGAACAUAAGUAUGUUGACCUUUCUCGUUUAACAAGAAUGGUCUUUAUGUUUUAACUGUAAUAUUUCAACAUCAGAUAUUUCAUUUCAACAGAAUAUUUUCUGAGUGGUAUCAGUUGUUACAAUGAGUUUCUUAAACUUCCCUUUUUAUGGAAAUAAGUAAACUGUUUCAAAGAGAUUGGGUUUGGGCGCCUGGGUGGCGCAGUCGGUUAAGUGUCCGACUUCAGCCAGGUCACGAUCUCACGGUCCGUGGGUUCGAGCCCCGCGUCGGGCUCUGGGCUGAUGCUCAGAGCCUGGAGCCUGUUUCCGAUUCUGUGUCUCCCUCUCUCUCUGCCCCUCUCCCGUUCAUGCUCUGUCUCUCUCUGUCCCAAAAAUAAAUAAACAUUGAAAAAAAAAAUUAAAAAAAAA